UCCACAGAAACAUGUAGGUAUUGAAGC
rnacentral:piRNA from 1 species